rnacentral:rRNA from 1 species
GAUCCUGGCUCAGAUUGAACGCUGGCGGCAGGCUUAACACAUGCAAGUCGAACGGUAGCAGGUAAGUACUUGUACUUAUGCUGACGAGUGGCGGACGGGUGAGUAAUGCUUGGGGAUCUGGCUUAUGGAGGGGGGAUAACGACGGGAAACUGUCGCUAAUACCGCGUAGAAUCGAGAGAUGAAAGUGUGGGGACCUCGGCGCAUGCCAUAGGAUGAACCCAACGUAGGGAGUAGGUAGUUGGUUAGGG